rnacentral:rRNA from 1 species
GAUGAACGCUGGCGGCGUGCCUAAUACAUGCAAGUCGAGCGAACAGAUGAGGAGCUUGCUCCUCUGACGUUAGCGGCGGACGGGUGAGUAACACGUGGAUAACCUACCUAUAAGACUGGGAUAACUUCGGGAAACCGGAGCUAAUACCGGAUAAUAUAUUGAACCGCAUGGUUCAAUAGUGAAAGACGGUUUUGCUGUCACUUAUAGAUGGAUCCGCGCCGCAUUAGCUAGUUGGUAAGGUAACGGCUUACCAAGGCGACGAUGCGUAGCCGACCUGAGAGGGUGAUCGGCCACACUGGAACUGAGACACGGUCCAGACUCCUACGGGAGGCAGCAGUAGGGAAUCUUCCGCAAUGGGCGAAAGCCUGACGGAGCAACGCCGCGUGAGUGAUGAAGGUCUUCGGAUCGUAAAACUCUGUUAUUAGGGAAGAACAAAUGUGUAAGUAACUAUGCACGUCUUGACGAUACCUAAUCAGAAAGCCACGGCUAACUACGUG